AUGCUUCGGACUACUAAAAAAUACAAUUUAGUGAAGGAAAUUAGAGGGAAACUGAAAAAGCAAAAUGCCAGAUCCAGAGAAGUAGAACGGAGGAUUACACACAAUCCCGAAUCAAAAACCGCAGAAGCCCUAAUUGAGAUAUCGCAAGAAGAAAAUUUUCAUUCACGGGUUCUCAAUCAAGCAAUCAAGAACCAGGAUUUGUUAGGGCAAAGAAAUAAUAAACGAAAAAACCCUAAAACUCCAAAGAUUCACCUUCUCAAGGUUUAG